GACAUCAUCACCAGGUAUGCCAAACACCAACACAGGAAUAGUGAUUACAGGAAGUGAUUGAUUUGACUGUGCCUAGAAAUGGACGUCCCCUUUCCAAUCGAUACUACGGCUCUGUGAGCAGCUGAGCUGGUAGCUCCUGUCCAAGCAGUGAAGCCUCAGAGGUACCAUCUUGAGGUCCUGCCAUCUGCUCUCCACGGGUCCUGCAUUCCCAGCUAUGCAGAUGGGGAGCUCCUUUCCCACCCCAAAUUGCAGCAGUCCCCAAACUGCAGAAGAUUCACCAAGCCUUAUCCCAUAAGAAAGAGUCCAUUUUGAGCUCUGUUUCCUGCAUCAUUCGAAAGGAAUGCUCCUAGCCUAACAUCUCCUUAGUCUGGAGGACGAAAAGUUUUUCCUAAGUCAGGAAAACACAUUGAAAACCGAAAAAAGGAAAGAUCAAGUAAUGUGGAGAGAUAACAACAAUUUCAAAAAGUAAGAAAAAUGGGAAGGGAUAGGCCAAACAGAUAUUCAAAGAUGUUGUGGAGUUAUGGCAUGGUACUGACACAAGAAUACAUGGACAUCAAUUGAAUGAAACAUAAAAGCAAGACUUUAAUAUUUGCAACAUAAUUCAAUGAGAAAAGGGAAGAUCAUAAAAUAAGUUAUAGUGGUAUAAAUCAUUAGCAAUUUGGAGGCAGAUAUUCUCUUACCGUGUGUGCGCACGCACACACACACACACACACACACAUACACACACACCGGGAGA